AGAACGAACGCUGGCGGCAUGCCUAACACAUGCAAGUCGAACGCGUGUAGCGAUACACGAGUGGCGGACGGGUGAGUAACGCGUGGGAACCUGCCCUGGAGUGUGGGAUAACCGAGGGAAACUUCGGCUAAUACCGCAUACGACCUGAGGGUGAAAGAUUUAUCGCUCUAGGAGGGGCCCGCGUCGGAUUAGCUAGUUGGUGGGGUAAAGGCCUACCAAGGCAGUGAUCCGUAGCUGGUCUGAGAGGAUGAUCAGCCACACUGGGACUGAGACACGGCCCAGACUCCUACGGGAGGCAGCAGUGGGGAAUAUUGGACAAUGGGGGCAACCCUGAUCCAGCAAUGCCGCGUGAGUGAUGAAGGCCUUAGGGUUGUAAAGCUCUUUCGCGCGCGACGAUGAUGACGGUAGCGCGAGAAGAGCCCGGCUAACUUCGUGCCAGCAGCCGC
rnacentral:rRNA from 1 species